rnacentral:rRNA from 1 species
CUAACACAUGCAAGUCGAACGGUAACAGGAAGAACUUGCUUCUUUGCUGACGAGUGGCGGACGGGUGAGUAAUGUCUGGGAAACUGCCUGAUGGAGGGGGAUAACUACUGGAAACGGUAGCUAAUACCGCAUAACGUCGCAAGACCAAAGAGGGGGACCUUCGGGCCUCUUGCCAUCGGAUGUGCCCAGAUGGGAUUAGCUAGUAGGUGGGGUAACGGCUCACCUAGGCGACGAUCCCUAGCUGGUCUGAGAGGAUGACCAGCCACACUGGAACUGAGACACGGUCCAGACUCCUACGGGAGGCAGCAGUGGGGAAUAUUGCACAAUGGGCGCAAGCCUGAUGCAGCCAUGCCGCGUGUAUGAAGAAGGCCUUCGGGUUGUAAAGUACUUUCAGCGGGGAGGAAGGGAGUAAAGUUAAUACCUUUGCUCAUUGACGUUACCCGCAGAAGAAGCACCGGCUAACUCCGUGCCAGCAGCCGCGGUAAUACGGAGGGUGCAAGCGUUAAUCGGAAUUACUGGGCGUAAAGCGCACGCAGGCGGUUUGUUAAGUCAGAUGUGAAAUCCCCGGGCUCAACCUGGGAACUGCAUCUGAUACUGGCAAGCUUGAGUCUCGUAGAGGGGGGUAGAAUUCCAGGUGUAGCGGUGAAAUGCGUAGAGAUCUGGAGGAAUACCGGUGGCGAAGGCGGCCCCCUGGACGAAGACUGACGCUCA